rnacentral:snRNA from 11 species
AGAUAUAAACAUGAUCUGGCUGUGAACAUCUGUCACCCUAUUGGUCACCAAGUUUAAUUUGGUUGAUUUGGUUGGCUUGUUGGGUGACCUCUUUCUCCAUCAAAACUCUGUGUUCAUCCUUCCAAAGGCUGCACACUUGGUGGAAAAGGAUGGCAAUUCCAGACAGAAGGAGUGUACCAUUUCUGGUCAACGGCUGCGUUUCUCUGCUAGAAUUUCCACUAAAUUCAUUCCGCUUCUAU